GUCGAUGGGAAACGGGUUAAUAUUCCCGUACUUGGUGUUACUGCGAAGGGGGGACGGAGAAGGCUAUGUUGGCCGGGCGACGGUUGUCCCGGUUUAAGCGUGUAGGUGUGUGUUCCAGGUAAAUCCGGUUCACUUUAACACUGAGGCGUGACGACGAGGCACUACGGUGCUGAAGCAACAAAUGCCCUGCUUCCAGGAAAAGCCUCUAAGCAUCAGGUAACAUCAAAUCGUACCCCAAACCGACACAGGUGGUCAGGUAGAGAAUACCAAGGCGCUUGAGAGAACUCGGGUGAAGGAACUAGGCAAAAUGGUGCCGUAACUUCGGGAGAAGGCACGCUGACAC
rnacentral:rRNA from 1 species